GACGAACGCUGGCGGCGUGCUUAACACAUGCAAGUCGAACGGAAAGGCCCCUUUGGGGGUACUCGAGUGGCGAACGGGUGAGUAACACGUGAGUAACCUGCCCUUGCCUUCGGGAUAACUUCAGGAAACUGGGGCUAAUACCGGCUAGGAAUCCUUGCUGCAUGGUGGGGGUUGGAAAGCUUCGGCGGGUUUGGAUGGACUCGCGGCUUAUCAGCUUGUUGGUGGGGUAGUGGCUUACCAAGGCUUUGACGGGUAGCCGGCCUGAGAGGGCGACCGGCCACAUUGGGACUGAGAUACGGCCCAGACUCCUACGGGAGGCAGCAGUGGGGAAUAUUGCACAAUGGGCGGCAGCCUGAUGCAGCAACGCCGCGUGCGGGAUGACGGCCUUCGGGUUGUAAACCGCUUUCAGCAGGGGCGAAGCUUGUGGUGACGGUACCUGCAGAAGAAGCACCGGCUAACUACGUG
rnacentral:rRNA from 1 species